UACGGAGGAUCCAAGCGUUAUCCGGAUUUAUUGGGUUUAAAGGGUGCGUAGGCGGCUUAUUAAGUCAGGGGUGAAAGACGGUAGCUUAACUAUCGCAGUGCCUUUGAUACUGAUGAGCUUGAAUGUAGUUGAGGUAGGCGGAAUGUGACAGGUAGCGGUGAAAUGCAUAGAUAUGUCACAGAACACCAAUUGCGAAGGCAGCUUACUAAAGUAUGAUUGACGCUGAGGCACGAAAGCGUGGGGAUCAAACAGG
rnacentral:rRNA from 1 species